rnacentral:rRNA from 1 species
AUUGCCCUAGUAACGGCGAGUGAAGCGGCAACAGCUCAAAUUUGAAAUCUGCCUUCGGGCCGAGUUGUAAUUUGUAGAGGAAGCUUUUGGUGAGGCACCUUCUGAGUCCCCUGGAACGGGGCGCCAUAGAGGGUGAGAGCCCCGUAUAGUCGGAUGCCGAUCCAAUGUAAAGCUCCUUCGACGAGUCGAGUAGUUUGGGAAUGCUGCUCAAAAUGGGAGGUAAAUUUCUUCUAAAGCUAAAUACCGGCCAGAGACCGAUAGCGCACAAGUAGAGUGAUCGAAAGAUGAAAAGCACCUUGAAAAGGGGGUUAAAUAGCACGUGAAAUUGUUGAAAGGGAAGCGUUUGCGGCCAGACUUGCGCCGCCCCGAUCAUCCGGUGUUCUCACCGGUGCACUCGGGGCGGCGCAGGCCAGCAUCGGUUUCGGCGGGGGGAUAAAGGUCCGGGGAACGUAGCUCCUCCGGGAGUGUUAUAGCCCCGGGCGUAAUGCCCUCGCCGGGACCGAGGUUCGCGCAUCUGCAAGGAUGCUGGCGUAAUGGCCGCCAACGACCCGUCUUGAAACACGGACCAAGGAGUCAAGGUUUUGCGCGAGUGUUUGGGUGUAAAACCCGCACGCGUAAUGAAAGUGAACGUAGGUGAGAGCUUCGGCGCAUCAUCGACCGAUCCUGAUGUAUUCGGAUGGAUUUGAGUAAGAGCGUUAAGCCUUGGACCCGAAAGAUGGUGAACUAUGCUUGGAUAGGGUGAAGCCAGAGGAAACUCUGGUGGAGGCUCGCAGCGGUUCUGACGUGCAAAUCGAUCGUCAAAUCUGAGCAUGGGGGCGAAAGACUAAUCGA